AAAGUGCCCAUACUUUGCUCAUUUUCAGAUUCAUAAUAGUAUUUUGAGAUUGUACCAGAAUGUGUUUACAUGGUUUAAUUUUCAAAAAACUAUAUUUUCGUUGUACUGCACAUAGCUGCAGAUCGUCUUUUCCCCCUGUGUGUUGAGCUCUCUUUU